rnacentral:rRNA from 1 species
GAGUUUGUCGGUUGGUCGGGCUUCACUGUCCGCACUGGUCUGAUGGAUUCCUACCUUCUGAAUAACAGCAUGCUAUUAAGUUAGUGCGUUGGGGAAGCAGAGCUAUUACCUUGAAAAAAUUAGAGUGCUUAAAGCAGGCAUUUGCUUGAAUACGUUAGCAUGGAAUAAUAAAAUAGGACGGCAUGAUUCUAUUUUGUUGGUUUCUAGGAUCACCGUA